UACGUAGGGGGCAAGCGUUGUCCGGAUUUAUUGGGCGUAAAGAGCGUGUAGGCGGCCAGGUAGGUCUGCUGUGAAAACUCGAGGCUUAACCUCGAGCUGUCGGCGGAAACCAUCUGGCUAGAGUCCGGAAGAGGAGAAUGGAAUUCCCGGUGUAGCGGUGAAAUGCGCAGAUAUCGUCCAGAACACCGAUAGCGAAGGCAGCUUACUAAGGAGUAACUGACGCUGAGGCACGAAAGUGUGGGGAUCAAACAGG
rnacentral:rRNA from 1 species